rnacentral:siRNA from 1 species
UUCUGCACAAACCUGAUGUAUUGC